GGGGAAAAGAGAGAGAGAAACAUUGAGGUUGCCUCCUAUAUGCUCCCUGAUCCCACAACCCAGAAAUUGCUGCGGAAGCUCCCUUUCCCAGUACACAGAGUUUACGGACUCCCUUCUUCCUGCUCUGUCUUUGCUUGUGAUGUUCGGGAUGCCCAGCAAUCUUAUUGGACCAGGCUCAGGACUGCUGAAUCGAUGGAGAAAGGAGAAAGGAGAGAAACACCAAUAGGAGAGGGAAAUGUCCAUUGGCUGCCUCCCAUUUAUGCCAUGACCGGGGAUUGGAGCCACAACCUAGGCAUGUGCCUUGACUGAGGAUUGAACCCAGAAGAUUUUGGUGUACAAGAUGAUGCUACAACCAACUGAGCCAACCAGACAUAGCUGAUUUUGUUAUUUUCCUUUCAAGGUUUAACUCAGUUGGAAAUUAUUAUGGCAUAAAGGGUAGAGGAAAAAUUUACCUUUACUCUUAAAUAGCUAACUGGCUUACAGGAGUACCCCCCUUAUCAGUGGAGGUUACCUUACAAGACCCUCAGUGGAUGCCUGAGACAGCUAUAGUACCAAACCCUAUGAUUUUUCCUAUAUAUACAUGCCUAUGAUAAAGUUUAAUUUAUAAAUUAGGUACAGUAAAAUAAUAACAACAAUAAAAUAAAACAAUUGUAACAAUAAACUAUAACAGAAAUUAUGUCAAUGUGGUCUGUGUCUGAAAAUGCCUUGCCCCGCGCACCCAGCAUGGGCUCACUGGACAGCAGCGGGUCCACGUCCUGAGCCGGACAGAGCCGGCGGGGUGCUGUGAGAUUGUAUUACACUACUUGGAGCAGCCAUGCAAUUUCAAACUUAUGAUUUUUAAGAUAUUAAUUUUGUAACAACUAACUGACAAAUAUUUUGUGGUUUCCUUCUUUCUUCCCUCCCUUUCUUUUUUCUUUUUUUACCUUCCUUUUCUCCUCCCUUUCUUCUCUAGGGUUGUUGAGAUACA